UAAUAGUACUUGAAAAUGAUUAUCAAUACCAAAUGAGACAUCCCCCCACAAUUUCGUUCUUAUAGUAUUGGUCAUUUUCAUAUCCCCUUUUAUAUAUGCCCGUAAAUACUGACGUUAUGGUUAUACAUAACGUGACAUACUUACCGAUUUUGCUAGUAAAUGCAAAAUCGGUUUUU
rnacentral:ncRNA from 1 species